GGUGCUGUCCGGCUCUGUGGACCGCGGUAAGCGCGUGUUUCAGGUGCUGUCCGGCUCUGUGGACCGCGGUAAGCGCGUGUUUCAGGUGCUGUCCGGCUCUGUGGACCGCGGUAAGCGCGUGUUUCAGGUGCUGUCCGGCUCUGUGGACCGCGGUAAGCGUGUGUUUCAGGUGCUGUCCGGCUCUGUGGAC